UAACGCGAGAGAUGUCGCCUUCUCGCGAGACCUGCACCACGGACGGGUGCCAACUCUUCGGAGACACGUACCUCAGAGUGAAGGGCAAGGUUCCACGGUGAUGGGAAAGCAAAACGAUUCAAAUUUCAGCUCUUUGCCAUCAUCAUGAGAAGAAUAUACCCUGGCUAGCUACUGGCUCCAAACGGAGAAUGGAGAAUACGUAAGCAGAACCACCCCAGCAAACCCAAAGACUACCGAUAAGGUCAUCUAGACUAAAGAUUCCCAGUCUCCCUUCAAGCAAGUUCAUUUCAUGAAAUAUUUAGCGUUGGGCUGCCAGUGUGCCUUGACUGGCUUUGGGAUAGAUGAUUAUCCAUGGUUGGACAUGAGGAGGUGAGUGAAAAGGUUGUAAGGUCUGCCUUUCAAGGGUCUAUGGUUACAGUAGAUUCUAGAAAAUGAGUGUCUAGGAAAGUAAGUGACAGACAUGUCUACUAUACUUGUCAAAAAUUUGGAAAGUUAAGAAGAGUUUUAAGGAAUAUUUAAAUAUAUCAUUACUAUUCUUAAACAUUCAUGAAGAAGAUUAUACUAUAUUUCUCUCCAGUCUCUGUAUAUGCAUGUAUAUAGUUGUGAUCUUAUGUAUGUGUGUAGACUUUUUUGUUUUUUUGUUUUGUUAUUCUGGAUAUAGCAUAAAGAUUUCCUUACAUCAUUAAAAACAUUAAAAGAUAAAUUAUAAAUGGCUGCAUUUUAUUAAAUUAUUUGGGUAUGUGAUUCACUUAGCUAUAUUCCUCUGAUAUUGCAAAUGUAGUAUGUUUCCAACAUUAUAAAUAUUUUGAUGAAAUUCUUUGUUCACAAUUUUUUUUCUGCAUUUUAGAUUUUAAUCUUUUUUUUUCUUUUCCUUUUUUUUGGUAGAUUUUUGGUAUGUAGUAAGGAAGCUGGGUAUGAAAACUUUUAAUGCUUUUGAAUUUUGCCAAGUUAUUGUCAAGUUUCUGAAAGGAUUUUAUCAUUUUACAACACUGCUUCUGUUAAUCCUUUGUACUCAUGAUCUAGUGAUGCACUAAAGAAAUAUAAUAGUCCUGAGAAUAUGAGUCUUGUUAAAACUUAAUUCCAACUGCAAGGAGAGAGAUCUAGUUUUGUACUUUAUCCAACUAAAAAACAUAUGUUCUAUGAAAUAGUGGCAGAGUCAUGAAAAGUACUAGCCAUCUUUUUUUGUGUGAAGUAUCUGUUAUAAUUACAUUUGUUUGCAUCAGUUAUCUUCACAUCAUUGCCUCAACAUAGCCUGAGCAUAAUGUGAUGAAUUGUUUCAGGUUGGUCACUCUAUAGAUAAUGUUCUUGUGCUUUUUAUAGCAGAAAACUAUUUAUGACCUUUCUCAAUCUUUAUACUAGUAUUAAAUUGUAUUAUCUAGCCUAAAAUAAUGACCUCAUCAGUGAUUGGCAUCAUAUUCUCUGUGUCCUCAUACUGGAUGGCCACUUUGAUGUCUCAUAAUCUUAAACCCUAUGACUGAUGAUCUUUCUAGAGGAAACUCCUCAGAAAAUAAAGUGACAGCAUAAAGAUUGAGGGCUGGCUCUGAAGUCACACAGACAUGGUUUCAUACCACAUAUCUGUUUCUGUUACAUAUUAGCCUGGAUGACCUAAGAAGCUGUUUGAUUUCCAGCAAAAUGUAAUUCAACUGAGAAAAAAAUAAAACUAUGAGCUUUCAAAUAGAAAAGCAUCAGCAUCACAACUUUCAGAAUGAAUGUCAGAAACUUGAAAGACAAAUCUUGGAGACAACAAAACAGGAGUCUUUUAAGAAAUGCUGCAUCACCAACAAAAUUUGAUGAAACAGAGAAUAAUAUUGUGUUGAAAGUCAUGGAAAACAAUGACUCCAAAUUAAAAACAAAAUAUAGUAGAGUUAGAUUUUAUGAAGAAGUUUUUAGGAAUAAACAAGCCAAUUUCCUUAACUAACAUUUUCCUCAUGUGAUAUAUGUUAAAUAUCUAUACCUAAAUAGAUAUGUUUUCAAUAAAAAUUAGAAGUGAAAGAGCAUUUAUAACUAGUGUUAGUGCAAGUUCAUGUGCCCGAAGCACAGUGAGGCCAAACAAAUUGGAACGUCAGGAGUUUGGAGUAGAGAAAGGUUUAUUGCAGGGCCAUGCAAGGAGAUGGGUGGCUCAUAUCCUAAAAAGCCCUGAGCUCCCCAAAGGGUUUUGGCAAAGCAUUUUUAAAAGCCAGGUUGCGGGCCUGGGGUGGGUGUGGGUGUGUCACAGGGUACGUGAUCUGCUCAUGCAUGUUCUGUCUGGCUGAUGUUGAGGGAACAGGGUGGUGUCACAAGGUUAACAUUAUCAGUCCUUAGGCUCCAGGAGGCUCAUGGUCAUCAAGUAGUUAACAUCUUCCAUUCGGUCAGGGGUUUUCACAUCUGUAAAACAAUUCAGGAAAUGUGCAUCAAAUACUGUUAUCUAGAUACUUCAGAGAGGAGCUAAAGCAAAGGAUAUGGGGGAAGGCCUCAUAGGGUCCUGCUUGGUUACAUUAGAAGCAUUUGCUAAUACUGUAUCAUAAAAGAUAGUGGGACAUCUUCUAAUACAAUAAUCUAUUAUAACUUCCAUGAUCUAAUAGUAUAGUAUUUUAAAGCACUUUUUAAAAAUGUCUUAAGCCCAAAUUUAAGGAUAUGUAAUAUUUAAAUAUUAAAAUGCCCAUGUAUUGGUUGAUCCCUUUUGCCCAUCUGGUAUUACAGAAGUAUUAGGCUAUCCCUUGUUGAAUCUUCCUCACCUGUUUGUCUAAUAACAGAGGAAAAGGAAGAGUGACUACAUUAUCAUAAUCAUGGCUUACAGUGAUUGAAUACCUCCAGUUAUUGAGCUGAGUGUUCUUUGUGGGCUACCUCAUAUAAUCCUGACAAACAUCUGAACACGACAUAAUUCUAUACACCAUUCCAGUAUGCAAAUGAGGAAACUGAAGCUGAGAGAAAUUACGCUCAACGUCACAUACUUAGUACGGAGUCUGUAUUUAAAUUCAGGCAAUCUGGCUCCAGAGUCUGUGCUCUUCCCCUCUGUUCUAUGCAGGGAGGUUAUAUUGCAUAGUGAUUAAAGCAUAGACACAGAAGACUGAUUGGUUGGGUUAAAAUUCCACUCUGUCACUAACCAGUUGUGUGACUUUAGAAAAAUGACUUGACCGCUCUGUCUCAAUUUUCUCUUCUGCAAAAUGGUUAUGAAAAUAGUAAUAAUAGUAUCUUCCUCAUUAGGAUGUUUUAAGGAUAAAUAAGUUAAUAUAUGUAAAGCAUUUAGAACAAUGUCUGGUAUAUAACUUGCAUUAUCUAAAUGUUAACUAAUAUUAUACAAUCUCCUUUAUAUUAUGAUUGGCCAGAAGGGGGAUUAUCUGCCCUGAAAGAAACAACCUGAUGAUCUCAGAAAAAUCUAUCUGUACACACUCAUUGUCAGCAGAAUACCAAGUGAGAUGGCUCUUUUCCAGUUGUUCUAUUUAAUUGAAAAAUUAGGAUUAAAGGUCAGCAUUUUUUUUAAUGAGUUUUCCUAUAGCCACAUUAACCCUACGCUUUAAAUUGGUGCUCAGUGGAUCUUUGUAUUUUCUCAUUGAUGUUAGCAAAUACAAAUUUAAAGUCAUUGUUAUAUUCCCCUCUUUCGGAACUAGAUAUGAGUACUGUAAAGUUUGCUUCAUGUUGUUAAAUGCUUUUUUCCCCCCAAUGUGAGAAUGCUAAGAAAGUUUAAAAGGACACCUGAAAAAUCACAAUAACAGGUCAUAUAGGUAUAGAGAUUAUUAUUGAAAUGUACUUAAUGUUGUAUUCUUUUUCCAAGAAUUGUGUUGUCAUAAAUCCUUCUCGAUAGAACCGAGUAUUUGUUUUGGCCCUGAAAGUUACCCAUGCUUUAGGGGAUCAUAUUAUAACAUAGAGGGUAGAUUACACAGUGACACAGAUCUGGAUUUUAAUCCUUGUUCUGUUAAUUACUAGUUGUAUGACUUUGAGGAAAUUGUUUAACUUUUAUGAGUUUCUGUUUCUUAGUAAGCAUUGAAUAAAUAUCUAUUUUAUAGGCCAGUUGUGAGGAUUAAAAAAGUAAAUUAGUAUAAAAUAUCUAAUACAGAGACUCGAAAACAAUUGUUUACUGUUCUCCUGUUUCCUUACACCCAUCCUCUGCCCCAGGCUUUUUCAAAAAGUAGGGCCACUGCUAGGAUGUAUGGGACACCAAGAAAAUACUUCUGAUGUGUCUCACUGUAGAAAUAAGUAAAUUGACUUUAAAAACUACAGAAUUCAUGGGCCCUUAGGACGCAUAGUGAUAUAUUAAUGAAGAUUUAGAAUAGCGGCUAGAGAAGAGGCACAUACAUAUUUAUUUAUUGCCAAUCAGUGCAAAUAAAGAUUCUUCAUAGUAUUCAGACACUAUCCCCUCCUGUUUAAGUUUAGGAACCAUUUCUUUUCGUUCUUUAUUGUCAAAGGUGUGAUUCCUGUCUAACGUCAUAGCUCCCACCACAAGAAUAAGAUAUCAAUGCUUAUUUUUCACAAGGCCAUGGCUCUUUAAAACAUAUUUUUGUUGGAACAAUACUGGUCUUUUUGCCUCUGCAUUUCCAAUACUAUUUAUUUAAUGCUGGUGUUAAAAAACAAACAAACAAAAAAACCUCCAAAAUUCAACUGAGUAAAGAUCUAAUUGGCUUUAUUCAACAAUUCAAGUAUCAGGCAGCAUCCCAUCUAGAAAAUAGAGAGGAGCUCUGAAGAGCUGUACAAAAUGCAAAUCUUUAUAGGCAUAAGGGGUGGGAAAAGGAAGCUCUAGCAAGGAGUGGAUUGUUUCAGGCAAGGUCACCAGCAGUAUGUGCAGUUAGGUCCCCAUUUCAUUUCUAAUCCUUUUUAUUUGGGCCUUCCCUCUUUUCACCUGAUCAAUUUUAUAUAUUUUAUUGACUAUUAAUAUUUUUGAAAAAUGAUUUUUUCUGUAUUUGUUCUCUAUUUUGUUGUUCCAUAGUUUUUUUUUAUCUUUAUUACUUCUUUCCUUCUACUUUUGUAUCUAAUUUGCUGUUUUAUUUUUCUAAAUUAUUAUGAUUAUUGAUUUCUCAUUUUUACUAUAUGCAUUUAAGGCUGUAACUAUUCUUCUAUAUAUGACUUUGACUAUAGCAUCCAAGUUUUAAUAUAGUAAUUUUAAUCAGUUCAAAAAUAUUUUCUGAUUAUAAUUAGUAUUUCUACCUUGGCCCAUGAAGCAAUGUGAAGUUUUUCUUGAUUUGCAAACGUAUAAUGAUUUUUUAGUUAUUUGUGGGUUAGUUAUUUAUUCAGCUUAAUUUCACUGUGAUCAGGUAGUGUGGUAUGUAUGUUAUUAAUAUUUCAGAACUUUUAAGACUAGCCUUAAGGCUCAGUAUAUGGUUGUAUUUCAUCAAUGUGUGAUAAAAUUUGUCACUAUGAUGAUAAAUUUGAUAUUUUAUGUAGUUCUAUUAAAAGUACUUUUAUAUAUAUUUGGACCUAUAAAAGUUUAGAAGUGUUGUGUAAUCUUGAUAAAUUAAAACAUCGUUUAUGGACCUUCUUUAGCUCUAGGGAGAUAUCUAUAUCUGUAUCUAUAUUCUUAAAUGCAAUUUUUAGUUUAUAAUUAUUAUAGUUAUGUGAGCAUUACUUUGUUUAGCAUUUGCCUGAUUUUUUUCCAAAUUGGUUUUCAACCUUUCAGCAUCUCCUGCUGAUUUUCAUCAUAUUUAGUAUAAUUAACAAACUAAAUAUUUUGACUCUGUACUUUACCAUUUUUCCUUUAAUGGGCAAAAGAAAAUGAAAGGUAUCUCUAAAGGGAAAAACAGAAUUUCUGUGAUAAUUAAAUGUAUUUUAAUUUUAGUAUUUUAAAAUUAAUUUUAUUUUGUUUAAUUUUUAGUAUUUUAUUUAAUUUUAGUAUUUUCAAAACUAUUAUAUAAUAGAUAUAUAUGAAGAAUGUAUAUGAAGAUAUAUGAAAUAGAUAUAUGUGAAGAUAUAUUAUUAGUCAUUCAUAAUUCAAAGUAUGCAAAUUUAACUUAGAUAAAAAAUAAAAGGUUAUGCUCAUUGAAGGCCCUGUUGUACCUAUCCCACCAAAGACUAUCCGAUGAAAUUAUUGAAGGAAUUUCUGUAGUAUUAAACACAUAACAGUUUGUGAGAACAAUUCAAUAUCAAAAAAUUUUAACUACACUAGAUGUUGUAAGAUUUUUAGUAAUCUACCAUCUUAGAAAUGACUUAUAAAAACACUACACACAGCAUAUGCAAUUUUUUUUCUGGCCCUGGAUAAAGAGUUUGAGAAUUUCCAUCCCAUGAUUCAUAAUCCACAUCACAUGAAAUAGAAGAAAAACUGAGGUUUGAGACCAUUAUCACAGUGUUAGGAAAGAUAUGCUUAAUUUGUCUAUAGUCCAUAUAACUGCUUUCCCACAUUCAUUCCUGACCUCCACGCCACACAUCUAUGUCCUUAACUUCGUUCUACAGAGAAAGAAAACCAGUGUCAACUCUGGGAUAUUUUAAAGGUUAUCAUUAUACAUCUUCCCCCAAUAUCUGGAAGUGUACAUAUGGAUACAAGAAGGAAAUGUUGUAUUUCCAGGAGCACAAUAACUGACACUGAAUUCAGCCAAUAUCUACAAGUAGGGGAUGGAUAAAGAUUUACAGAUUUUUUUUUUAUGAUGGCAUUCUUCUAGCCUUUUUUGAAAUUGUAUUGUUCAAUUGAUAGUUUGAUCCUGCAAUAUUCCUAAGCAGAUUGUAUGGUUGUUAAUAUUAUAAAAUAGCAUAUUUAAAUAAGUAUCCUGGGACUUCCCUGGUGGUCCGGUGGUAAAGAAUCCGCAUUCCAAUGCAGGGGAUUCAGGUUCGAUCCCUAGUCGGGGAACUGAGAUCCCACAUGCUGCGGGGCAACUAAGCCUGCAUGCCACAACUACUGAGCUCGCGUGCCUCAACAAGAGAGCCCGCGUGCUGCAAACUACAGAGCCCACGUGCUCUGGAACCUGCGUGCCACAACUAGAGAGAAGCCAGCGGGCCACAACAAAGAACCGUGCUGCAAUGAAAGAUCCCGCAUGCCUCAAUGAAGAUCCUGCAUGCCUCAAUGAAGAUCCUGCAUGCCUCAAUGAAGAUCCCGCAUGCCUCAACUAAGACCCAAUGCAGCCAAAAAAUAAAUAAAAUAGAGAAAUGUUAAAUAAAUAAGUAAAUAAAUAUCCUGAGAAUUUUAGAAGGCCCCUUAAAAUGAGGGGGACCCUUUACAAACGUGAUUUUAAGACUAAUUUUCCUGACCCUUAGUUUUGAAUAGUAUUAUUAUUUUUUUUAAUGGGAAAAACAUUUAUUUUAUAAAUCAGGUGCUGGAGUUUAACCUUUGAUUUCAAUACCCUGGUAACCUUGAAUACAUUACUUAAAGUUGAUGAACGUCAUUUCUCUUUCCGACAUAAUGUGGCUAAUAAUACAUACAUGUGUUCUCUAUACCUAUUUGCUUUUGAAGUACUAUCUUCAAGUCUUUACUGUUUUUUUAUUUGCCUUUGUUGACAGAAGGUGAAGAUAAGGCUAGUGAAUCAUGUUUUUUUUUAAAAUAUUAUUUAACAGUAUUAAGUAGCAUUGUUCUGCAUUCUAAAAUCUGUCUAGGAAAUCCCUGAAGAUCAAAUGACAAUAGAGUCUUUUAAGGUAGAAAGGAAGAUAAGUGUUAUUGGAUGAAAGCUAUAUAUUUAAAAAAUCAUGUCCAAAGUCACCUCUUUAUGCAAUUAGGUAAGAGUCCUUUAAGUGCUAUUUAUAGGUACUAACAGAUAUUUUGUUUAUGUGAAAUCUCUAGGAUAUAGGAAAGCUUUUUGAACUUUAUCAGUUAGCUUUUACUUCUUGGUAAACUACCCUAAAGUUAGCAGCUUAAGACAACAACUAUUUAUUUGCUUAUGAAUCUGGGCUGGCCUCAACUGGGCAGUUCUGUUCUGGAGCAGGCUUGACUAAUCUUGGCAAGAUUCAUUCAUGUGCCUAUGAUCAGUUGGUGGGUUGGCUGGGGCUGGUUUGUUUAUAAUGGUAUUGACUAGGAAAACUGGGAUAACUGGAGUCCCUUUGAUAUAGUCUCUCAAUCCUUUAACCACCCAGGUCAGGCUUAUCACAUGUUGGUGUCAGAAUUUCAAGAGCAAGAGAAGGAGUUACGAAGCUUCUUGAGGCCAAUGCUUAGAACUCAACAGCUCAACAGCACUUCUGGCAUGUUCUUUUAGUCAAAGUAAGUCAUAAGACAUGCCCAGAUUCAAGAGGUGGAAAAGUACGCUCUAAUUUUUGAUGGAAAGGAUUUAAGAACUGUCCAUCUUUUAAAUCUACUACACCAAGUAAAGUGUCCAAAGAAUUUAAAUCAGCUCUCUAUCUCUGAUGUCCAAACAUUGUGAACAAAAAUUGAAAAAUUCACUCAACAUUUAAAUAUUUUGUUCACAAAUUUUGAUAAUAGCUGGAAAUAAAUUAUACCACAUUAAAUAAAUUUUCCUGAACGUUGGACAUUAUAAUUCUUCCAGUCUUUGUUAGAGGACAUAAAACUUUAAAAAGUUAUUAAUAUAGGAAAUUUUAAUAUUCCUUAUUAGUACUCAUAAGUAGUGUGAUGGAGAAUAGAACUUUUGUUUCAGAAUUGGCUGAAACAAGGUUUUGAAUUAUUUAUGGAUUCUAUUUUCCAUUUGUCUCUACCUUUAUUAUUGUAAAAAUUUACGUUCUCUAUUGGAAUUGAUAAGAACAUUUGACAACUUGAUUUAAGAAAUGUUUUAUUAAAAAUGAAGAUUUUUACGGAAACUCCUGAGUAUGUAACCUCAGUAGAAUUUUACAUAAACCAAGAAAUAAAUGGAAAUCCUGAUGAACUAAACGUGAAUUAAUCCUUCAGGGUUUUUUGGCAAAACUGCAAACUUAAUUCAGGUAAUUAAAGGUUUUUCACAGCCCUAGCUUCGUCAUCCUCUAUUUAUAAUCCUUAACCUAGCACAAGCACUACAUUAGAGGCUUAAAAAAAUGAAGUUCUAAAGAAUGACAACCUUCAGAAAAAUGUGUUUACUGCUAGAGCAUAAUGAAUAUAUUUUAUAGAAUUUUGUAUUUUGUUAAAAAUGUGCAUUAUUUAACUUAUUUAUAAUUUUAUCAGCAUUGCAAAAUCCAAGUAUAUAUAAUUUAUAUACCUAUUCAAAUACAGUUUAUAGAUGACAAAACUUUAAAAGAUUUUAUGAACAUUAUUGUACAAAAAUAAAUUAUAAUGCAUUAUUUUUUACUAGUUAUUGAGCUGUUGAAAAAUGAAAGAGUAAAGUGAGGGAUUAUAGUCAAAGAUGGCCAGUUCCAAUUCAUCCAGGAAAAUAUGGGGUAAGAUUACAAAAAUGUGGGUGGACAAAACUUUCUAGUUCAGGAAACAGACAAGGAAAGAGCUUAAAAUCAUAUAGUUUUUAGAGAGAUUGAUGAGACUGUUCUUCAGAGUAUACAUAUGAAAACUGAGUCUUGGACUUAGGGUUGUAAAACUAACAACUGUCAUUUAUUGAUUGAAACUCAAAUUUUAUAACUUUAAGCCCAGUGUUCUUUGUUCAAUACCAAAGUAUGGAAGGAGGAAGGUGAAUAAGCUUCAGUGUCUUUGUAUCACAUUUUAAAAUGUUUACCCUGCUUAACGACUUUAUUGUUAUUCUGAAGAUUAUCAAUAAAAAGGAUUUUGAUGAUUUUUAUUUCUAAUAAUAAAUGUCAAAAAUCGGGACACUUACAAACCACCUUUUCCCCUGAAUGUCUACAUUCCUGUUGGCUCAUAAUACAAAACAUGGGUCAACCUCAUUUCUGUCUCCCUCAUAUACAUAAACAUAAAUGCACACACCCACACACAAGCAUAUCACCUGAAAAUAUUAAAGAUAAUUUUUCCUUCCUCAUCGUUAUUGGGGUAAAUGGUUUCUCAAGACA